rnacentral:rRNA from 1 species
AAUUUUCCGCAAUGGGCGAAAGCCUGACGGAGCAACGCCGCGUGAGGGAGGAAGGCCUUAGGGUUGUAAACCUCUUUUCUCUGGGAAGAAGAACUGACGGUACCAGAGGAAUAAGCCUCGGCUAACUCCGUGCCAGCAGCCGCGGUAAGACGGAGGAGGCAAGCGUUAUCCGGAAUUAUUGGGCGUAAAGCGUCCGUAGGCGGCUUUUUAAGUCUGUUGUCAAAGCCCACAGCUCAACUGUGGAUUGGCAAUGGAAACUGGAAAGCUAGAGUGCGGUAGGGGUAGAGGGAAUUCCCGGUGUAGCGGUGUGAAUGCGUAGAUAUCGGGAAGAAUCACCAGUGGUCGAAGGCGCUCUACUGGGCCGCAACUGACG